CCUGCGGAAGGAUCAUUAGAGAAUUUGAACGUCGUUCGGUUGUGCUGGCUCUUUUGCAAGUGCACGCCGUUCGGCUUACAUCCAACCCCUGUGCACCUUUGGCCUCGUCGGUUUGGUCGCGAUCGUAAUGGUCGUCGGCUCGCCGCGGGGAUUUUACACAAACUCGUAUGUAAARGAAAUUGGAAUUGUGCUCUGCACGAUAAUAUACAACUUUCAACAACGGAUCUCUUGGCUCUCGCAUCGAUGAAGAACGCAGCGAAAUGCGAUAAGUAAUGUGAAUUGCAGAAUUCAGUGAAUCAUCGAAUCUUUGAACGCACCUUGCACCCUUUGGUAUUCCGAAGGGUAUGCCCGUUUGAGUGUCAUUGUAAUCUCACACCCUAAGAUUUGUUUCGAGGGGAGGUGGACUUGGACGUUGCCGCGUCGCUGCGGCUCGUCUCAAAUGCGUUAGUGCAACUUUUGGUUGGACAUAGUACGGCGUGAUAAGUAUCUUCGCCGGCUCUCCGCAAGGGGGUGUUCKAUUYGAAAGCUCUGUGCUUCCAAUCGUCUUCGGACAAGCCUUCACGGGCUUCUUGACAACUUGACCUCAAAUCGGGUAGGACUACCCGCUGAACUUAAGCAUAUCAAUAAGCGGAGGAAAAGAAACUAACAAGGAUUCCCCUAGUAACGGCGAGUGAAGAGGGAUGAGCUCAAAUUUUGAAUCUGGCGUCUUCGGCGUCCGAGUUGUAAUCUAGAGAAGUGUUUUCCGCGAUGGACCGUGCACAAGUCUCCUGGAACGGUGCGUCAUAGAGGGUGAGAAUCCCGUAUAUGGCACGGACUACCAUUGCUCUGCGAUACACUCUCGACGAGUCGAGUUGUUUGGGAAUGCAGCUCAAAGUGGGUGGUAAAUUCCAUCUAAAGCUAAAUAUUGGCGAGAGACCGAUAGCGAACAAGUACCGUGAGGGAAAGAUGAAAAGCACUUUGGAAAGAGAGUGAAACAGUACGUGAAAUUGUUGAAAGGGAAACGCUUGAAGUCAGUCGCGCCCGUUUGGAUUCAGCCUUGCUUCUGCUCGGUUUACUUCCUCGCGGGCGGGUCAACGUCAGUUUUGGUCGGAGGAGAAAGCCUUUGGGAAUGUGGCAGCAUUCGUGCUGUGUUAUAGACCUUUGGUGUAUACUUCGRCCGGGACUGAGGACCGCAGCGCGCCUUUAUGGCUGGGGYUCGCCCACAUACGCGCUUAGGAUGUUGGCAUAAUGGCUUUAAGCGACCCGUCUUGAAACACGGACCAAGGAGUCUAACAUGUGCGCGAGUGUUUGGGUGUUAAACCCGAGCGCGYAAUUAAAGUGAAAGGUU
rnacentral:rRNA from 1 species